rnacentral:rRNA from 1 species
GUGGGCCCUCGAAAUCCUGUGGCGAGAGGAUUCAAUCUGGCCGUGCUGUAAGGGGCAAAGAGAGUCUGAACUCGGGACGGCCUCGGCCACUGUCGCGGGCUGAUUCCGGGGACGUUCUUACCCCUCUCGGCGUGUGUCGGAGGCAUUUCUUCCUCGCCCGAAGGACGCCGUAGCAGACUGGGCUCUAAAAGACGGCUUUAUGGACGAAUUUCGGCAGGUAGCCGAUGGCGUGCGUCACGCUCGCGGCCGGUGUUUGGCCAGUUUGUCCAGUGGCUCGUUUCCCGGUCGUGGUUAUGUAGUCCAUUGUGGACUUUAACGUCUCCUCCCACGGAAGCAGGUUAAGCACUGAAGGAGGAACCCGUCGUAAGGACGCACCGGACAAUCGGUGGUUUAGGCGAUGGUAGGUAACUCCGUUGGCGGUGUAGGGCCUGUUGGAGGUUGACGGCUCACGGCGAGUAGGUCGGUCACCCACCCGACCCGUCUUGAAACACGGACCAAGGAGUCUAACAUGUGCGCGAGUCAAUGGGUCUUGAAUAAGCCCAGAGGCGCAAUGAAAGCAAAAGCCUUCCGUGCGUUGGCUGAGCCGUGAUCCCCUGUAAUGGGGGCGCAGCGGCGGCCCGUCCCAUCCGGUACGUCCGGUGGGGCGGAGCGUGAGCGUACACGUUGGGACCCGAAAGAUGGUGAGCUAUGCCCGGGCAGGAUGAAGCCAGAGGAAACUCUGGUGGAGGUCC